rnacentral:rRNA from 1 species
GGUUUCGGCUGUCACUUACAGAUGGACCCGCGGCGCAUUAGCUAGUUGGUGGGGUAAUGGCUCACCAAGGCGACGAUGCGUAGCCGACCUGAGAGGGUGAUCGGCCACACUGGGACUGAGACACGGCCCAGACUCCUACGGGAGGCAGCAGUAGGGAAUCUUCCGCAAUGGACGAAAGUCUGACGGAGCAACGCCGCGUGAGUGAUGAAGGUUUUCGGAUCGUAAAGCUCUGUUGUUAGGGAAGAACAAGUGCGAGAGUAACUGCUCGCACCUUGACGGUACCUAACCAGAAAGCCACGGCUAACUACGUGCCAGCAGCCGCGGUAAUACGUAGGUGGCAAGCGUUGUCCGGAAUUAUUGGGCGUAAAGGGCUCGCAGGCGGUUUCUUAAGUCUGAUGUGAAAGCCCCCGGCUCAACCGGGGAGGGUCAUUGGAAACUGGGAAACUUGAGUGCAGAAGAGGAGAGUGGAAUUCACGUGUAGCGGUGAAAUGCGUAGAGAUGUGGAGGAACACCAGUGGCGAAGGCGACUCUCUGGUCUGUAACUGACGCUGAGGAGCGAAAGCGUGGGGAGCGAACAGGAUUAGAUACCCUGGUAGUCCACGCCGUAAACGAUGAGUGCUAAGUGUUAGGGGGUUUCCGCCCCUUAGUGCUGCAGCUAACGCAUUAAGCACUCCGCCUGGGGAGUACGGUCGCAAGACUGAAACUCAAAGGAAUUGACGGGGGCCCGCACAAGCGGUGGAGCAUGUGGUUUAAUUCGAAGCAACGCGAAGAACCUUACCAGGUCUUGACAUCCUCUGACAACCCUAGAGAUAGGGCUUUCCCUUCGGGGACAGAGUGACAGGUGGUGCAUGGUUGUCGUCAGCUCGUGUCGUGAGAUGUUGGGUUAAGUCCCGCAACGAGCGCAACCCUUGAUCUUAGUUGCCAGCAUUCAGUUGGGCACUCUAAGGUGACUGCCGGUGACAAACCGGAGGAAGGUGGGGAUGACGUCAAAUCAUCAUGCCCCUUAUGACCUGGGCUACACACGUGCUACAAUGGACAGAACAAAGGGCUGCAAGACCGCAAGGUUUAGCCAAUCCCAUAAAUCUGUUCUCAGUUCGGAUCGCAGUCUGCAACUCGACUGCGUGAAGCUGGAAUCGCUAGUA